ACCGCUCCGCACUCGCCUUCCGCCACGUGACCGCGCGACCGGGCCGUCAUCCGGGCAAGGUGGCCGCGGGGUGAAGCUGGCAGCCGCCAUUUUGAGAAAGGGCACGGCAAGUUCAGAGCGGCGGGGGGGCGCUGAGGAGCGGGUGAAGUCGUCGAGGAGCCAUGUUGGGUGUGGGAACGCUGCCGGGCGGAAACGGCGUGUUUGUACCGCGGCUGGACGGAGCUUCUAUUCUAAACUCUUCCAAUUCGGUAAUUGAAAGCAAGAAAAAUAACAAGAUGCACAAACCCUCUAUUACAAUUAAAUACUCAUAGCAAAGAACAAUGGGAAACUUCCAUUGACGUUUGGAGUUUGGAGAAAAACAGAGCGCUGGACGGGAGGGAAACCGUCCUGCUGCGGGUGUGGAGGCACGACUGCUGGCGGGAGGGAGGAGUGCAGCUACCUUCCCCCAUCAGCAGCGCCGUUCUGGCGUCCCAGGGAGCGGAGCAGAGCAAGCCAGGGUUCUGCGGCUGGCAAAGGGAGCCGUGCAGAUGUGCCGCGGCGCUUCCACGCGCGUAAGAAGCCUCUCCUCUUUGUAUCAGCAGGAGGAGCCCCGGAAAGCCCUCGGCCGGGUCAGAUUGGAGGCGAGGAGCAACUGAGGAAACGCAGAACGCACCUGCGUGUGCCGAGUGAAAAUUCACAGCAAUUCGUAAAAGACAACAGAGAUUUUCAGUAGUAAUAAUGAGAAUAAAAGGUUGAUGACUUUC